GGAGAAACUGCAAAUCAGAGAGUGUUAAGCAAUUAGGUGAACAGAAAGAUAAGGCUGACAAGAGUUUGGGUGUCUGUGGCUCCAGUGCCCAGGUUCAGGCUGAUCCUGUCCUCUGGGUGGCACUUUUGUUUUACAUUUUUCAAAUUGAAGGAAGAGUGAGAAAGGAGGGCACUUGAAUUGGAGCCUGGUCAGUGAACAGAAACGCCAUGAUUGCUGUCUGGGUGAAAGGUGAGCUGUGAUAAGCUGAGGAACCAUGGGAUGAGACGCUGGGUCCUGUGCUGGGCUCAGUGGAGAGGGAGAGGCCUAUGGCAGAGAGGCCACAAAGUCGCCACCAUUACAACAGAGGAUACAGUUUCUAGCAUCUGCUACUUUUUAGCUGGAGAGUAUCUGCAUCUUCCUAUCCUUGUGUGGCAGACACAGUUAACAUCAUUCCCAAUUCACAGAUUAGGAAACUGAGGCUCCCAGAUGCUUGACCUCAAAUUGUAUUCUUUCUAGGGGAUGGAACUUGGUUCCCCCCCCCCCCCCUUUACUGCCUCCCCUGGUCUCUAGAAUCCCGCUGCUCUAAAUUCGCCUGUCUUUGCUUUAGAAUUCACUCCUCAGCCCAUACUUGGUGCUACAGCAUUCCUUUGAAUGGGGUCAGAAUGAAUGGGUUCUCAUGUCUAGUAAACGCAAUGACAAAGUACUUAGCUGAAUUUGUUUUCAAAUCAAUAGAUACUUUUUUCUAGAGGUUGGAAUACUCUAACACUUAUUUAGAUAUCACAUACUAAAAGCUCAUCCAUCGCUUACUAAAAAUUCAAGUGGAGCUGGGGCACCCCAUGUAGAACACAUUGAGCUGCCUUAAAGUUAAAAAAGGCCCCACCGUGUUGCUGCAGCACUCAAGCCUGGAGUUAUCUGACUCCUCUGUCCCUCCUCCCCAGACCCUUCCAUCUAGAGAGCUCUGAUAGGAACCGGGCUAUUCUGGGAAAUUGCAAGGACCUGGUGACAUGGAAGAGAGGCGAGGGCACCAGUGACCUCAGAAUGGGAGUUCAUUUGGUGAUGUCGACUCCCCUGAUAAGGUGUGUGUGGAAUAUGUUUCUGCUGUCACCGUAGCCUCCAUCUGUUCCUGAUUCACAGCACUCUCAGGAAGGGGACCUUUUUCUCUGAGGAAAAUGUAAUGUGGCCCUUACCAGAGUCUGAGUUGAUGGUGGACGAUCCAACGAUCUUGGAAGCUCUGCCUUUUGAGAGUCUUAUAAGCCAUCUCAGAGGCAAGCCUCCACUUUUACACUUGCCAAUAGAUGCCGCACAUGUAUGCUCACUGGAUAUUUUUGUGUCAAAGACUGUGGUCUACUCCCUAACCAUUUUUUUUCUUUUCAACAUUACUAUUUUGUUUAGGAAAACAAUUCUUUAUUUGGACAAACAGUCUAGACUGAAGUAAAAAAAAAACCCGUACCAUCUCAUGA